rnacentral:rRNA from 1 species
CAAUAGCGUAUAUUAAAGUUGUUGCAGUUAAAAGCUCGUAGUCGGAUUUUGGCAUCAUGCCGAACUGUCAGCCGAUUGGUUUGUACGGUUUGGCGGGUGCUCUCCUUCCGGAGGCUCGUUUCCUCUUUCAUUAGAGGGUUCGAUGGUUCCGGGUCUUUUACUUUGAAAAAUUAGAGUGUUCAAAGCAGGCCUAUGCUCUGAAUAGGUUAGCAUGGAAUAAUAAAAUAGGACUUUGGUUCUAUUUUGUUGGUUUCUAGGACCGAAGUAAUGAUUAAUAGGGACAGUUGGGGGCACUCGUAUUCCGUCGAGAGAGGUGAAAUUCUCAGACCAAUGGAAGACGAACCACUGCGAAAGCAUUUGCCAGGGAUGUUUUCACUGAUCAAGAACGAAAGUUAGGGGAUCGAAGAUGAUCAGAUACCAU